rnacentral:rRNA from 1 species
UACGGGGGGAGCAAGCGUUGUUCGGAUUUACUGGGCGUAAAGGGCGCGUAGGCGGCGCGACAAGUCACUUGUGAAAUCUCUGGGCUCAACCCAGAACGGUCAAGUGAUACUGUCGUGCUAGAGUGCGGAAGGGGCAACUGGAAUUCUUGGUGUAGCGGUGAAAUGCGUAGAUAUCCGGAGGAACACCGGUGGCGAAGGCGGCUUCCUGGACCGACACUGACGCUGAGGCGCGAAAGCUAGGGGAGCAAACGGG